CCCCACCCUCGAGCCGGCGCCCCGCCCUGGCCUCUGCUCAUUGGCCUGGAUCCCCACAGAGCCGCCCUCAUUGGCCGUCCUUCACCUCAAGGGGGCGGGGCCCAAAGUCGCCGGAGUUUUGCUCGGGACGGGACGUCCGACAGAGGAGAGGCUGACGUCGGGGUGACGCUCCGAGUUAAUCGCAUCUGACGUCACGUCUCGUCUUAGCUCGCCUGCGGCGAUUGGCUGAGCGGCUUUGGGGAUCCCCUGCUAAUUGGGCGUCAAGGUUACAAGGUCUGGUUGUCUCAGUCGGAGCCCCGCCCCUGAAGGGUAAUAGAGGACUGAAGGCAGUAACAGAGUACCUGCCACUGUGGUCCGUGGUGAAGAUCCCCAUCCGGUAAAGGCAGGACAUGUGACCAAGAUGUCCAUGACCAGAAAUUACCCACUGGGGAAGUGCUGAAGAAUGGCCUACUAGGAAGAGGUGGACACACGUUGUUCAAGAGGAGGUUGUCCCAGGUCAAUGGAGUCUCUUCUUCAGAAGGCCUAUCUUCUGUCCGUCUUUCUAUCAUACCUCAUAUUUACCUAAGAGAGGCUACCAAUAGACCAAAGAAAUGUUUCUGCCCAAGUCCAGAUUGGUGUUUAUGUUUGCCUAUGGAAUUUCUCUGUACAGUCACUGGCAUGGAGGAAGGAAGAUAAGCCAGAAGUCACACUGAGAUCAUGACUGCCAGCUUGCUCUUUUUCCCAGAUGCUAAAUCACUGC
rnacentral:lncRNA from 1 species